UUUCCGUAGGUGAACCUGCGGAGGGAUCAUUACCACGCAAGGCGAAGCGGAGCGAGGGGCGUAGCCCUGAGCGACGCUGAGCCGAACAAACCCCAUUCCGCUGGCCUGGCCUCGUGCCGCGCCCAGCAGUGAACCCCACGUUACACAGCGCUCCCAGCUGAGUGGGCGGGGCGGGCCUAAAUGGCCCACCCGCGGCUGGUACUGCAGCGCUCUACCAAAUUCCCCCACACAAUCCACACACCCAAUCAAACCACACGCCUCGGCAUACACUGGCAGUGGGCGCUAACCCGCCCACCGCCUACCAUUACAAACGCUUACAACUUUCAGCAACGGAUAUCUUGGCUCUU
rnacentral:misc_RNA from 1 species